rnacentral:rRNA from 1 species
AGCGAACGCUGGCGGCAGGCCUAAUACAUGCAAGUCGAGCGGCCCUUCGGGGCAGCGGCGGACGGGUGAGUAACGCGUGGGAACGUGCCCUUUGGUACGGAACAACUGAGGGAAACUUCAGCUAAUACCGUAUGUGCCCUUCGGGGGAAAGAUUUAUCGCCAUUGGAGCGGCCCGCGUUGGAUUAGCUAGUUGGUGGGGUAAUGGCCCACCAAGGCGACGAUCCAUAGCUGGUCUGAGAGGAUGAUCAGCCACACUGGGACUGAGACACGGCCCAGACUCCUACGGGAGGCAGCAGUAGGGAAUCUUGCGCAAUGGGCGAAAGCCUGACGCAGCCAUGCCGCGUGAAUGAUGAAGGUCUUAGGAUUGUAAAAUUCUUUCACCGGGGAAGAUAAUGACGGUACCCGGAGAAGAAGCCCCGGCUAACUUCGUGCCAGCAGCCGCCGUAAAAC